rnacentral:rRNA from 1 species
GAUUAACGCUAGCGGCAGGCAUAAUACAUGCAAGUUGAACGGCAGCACAGGUAGUAAUACUGGGUGGCGAGUGGCGCACGGGUGCGUAACACGUAUGCAACCUACCCUAUACAGGCGAAUAACCUUUAGAAAUGAGGGCUAAUACGCCGUAGUAUUACAGAUGGGCAUCUAUUUGUAAUUAAAGAUUUAUCGGUAUAGGAUGGGCAUGCGUCCCAUUAGUUAGUUGGUAAGGUAACGGCUUACCAAGACGAUGAUGGGUAGGGGAUCUGAGAGGACUUACCCCCACACUGGUACUGAGACACGGACCAGACUCCUACGGGAGGCAGCAGUAAGGAAUAUUGGGCAAUGGCCGCGAGGCUGACCCAGCCAUGCCGCGUGCAGGAAGACGGCCUUAUGGGUUGUAAACUGCUUUUAUACGGGAAUAAUAGAGUGUACGCGUACAUUUAUGCAAGUAUCGUAUGAAUAAGCAUCGGCUAACUCCGUG